AUCGUAUAAGAGAGGGAGAGUAUUUAGUUCUUCGUUUGUAGAUCCAAAGUCCACCGAGAUAAUUUUUUCGCAAAUCAUCGUUGGAAUCUAUUUACUGGAACCAAUCCAAGUAUAAAGUACACGACACGUAAUCACAAGUUCGUCACAACAGCUUUGGCGAUCCUCGUGACCAGUGGUAAAAGCUACCAGCAUUUAUUUCUUUUGAAAGAAAAAUUUGAAGCACGAAAAUGUUGAAGGGCACUGUGGCUUUGGUAACUGGUGGUGCCUCUGGAUUGGGCCGUGGUACUGUGGAAAGAUUUGUCAAACAAGGUGCAAAAGUAAUUAUUGGCGAUUUGCCUGUUUCAAAGGGUAAAACCAUGGCCGAUGAAUUGGGAGAAGCCAAUGCAGUAUUUGCACCUAUGGAUGUAACUUCGGAAGCUGACGUUCAAGCUGCUCUUGAUCUUACGAAACAAAAAUUUGGGAAGCUUGACGUUCUCGUUAAUGCUGCCGGUAUCGCCAUAGCCUUUAAGACUUAUAACAGUAAUAAAAAACUUCCUCAUAAACUGGAGGAUUUUGCUAAAAUUAUUCAUGUGAACACUGUUGGCACCUUCAACGCUAUUCGUCUUUCUGCUGGCUUGAUGAUUGAAAACACACCUAAUCAAGAUGGUCAAAGAGGUGUAAUUGUUAAUACGGCGAGUGUUGCUGCUUUUGAUGGUCAAAUAGGUCAGGCUGCUUAUUCUGCUUCGAAAGGAGCAGUCGUAGGAAUGACCUUACCUAUCGCUCGCGAUCUUUCCAAGGAUGGAAUUCGUGUCGUAACAAUUGCUCCAGGAAUUUUCAAAACUCCGAUGUUAAUGGCGCUGCCAGAUAAAGUGCGCACCUAUUUGGCAAAAACCAUACCGUUUCCUCAGAGAUUGGGAGAACCUGAGGAGUACGCUAUGUUAGUACAGCAGAUUGUUGAAAAUACGAUGUUGAAUGGAGAGGUAAUUAGAUUGGAUGGUGCUUUACGAAUGCAAGCUUGAAGAACCAUCAGUUUUUCAUACCAAUAGAAUUACAGUAUCCAAGAUGAAUCUUACGUGGCUCUUUUUUAUACACGUAAAUGCAUGUAUAUAAUAUGCAAGAACUGCCCUCAACAAGUAUCAUCAUAACCUUGUAAUAGCCAACAUGUUGCAAACUAGAAAGCAAGAAGUAAUAAUUGUGAGCAAGGAGACCAACUACGUUUUAUCUCUUACAAAUGAACAAUUAGAUAAGGGCGAGGAAAUUGAACAAUUAAUCGUAAAUGAUCUCGUUGAAAAGCAUAGAAAGUUUAUACAAUCCAAAGAAGUUUGCUGAUCAGCUUAUUUCAAGCUGUAAAAUAUAUAGUCAAUUUUAUAUAUAAAAUAUGCAUUUUGAAAAGAUAAUUUUAUAGACACCACAAUUAGAAAAAUUUUGGUGAUAAUGGGGAUAAUACUCAGGUUCAAUAUACUAUAUUGUAUAUUAUACAUAUACUAUAUCAAUAUGCUAUAUGGUAUAUACAUAUCAGCACUGUAAAUGUACAUAAUUCAGUUAUCAGCACAAAUAUACGAUCACAUUUCUGUACAAAUUAUAAUAAACAGAAUGUCUGAACAAACUUAAA